rnacentral:rRNA from 1 species
GAUGGCGACCGGCGCACGGGUGAGUAACACGUAUCCAACCUACCGUUUACUCUCGGAUAGCCUUCCGAAAGGAAGAUUAAUACGGGAUGGCAUUACGGUUUCACAUGAUAUCGUAAUUAAAGAAUUUCGGUAAACGAUGGGGAUGCGUUCCAUUAGAUAGUAGGCGGGGUAACGGCCCACCUAGUCGACGAUGGAUAGGGGUUCUGAGAGGAAGGUCCCCCACAUUGGAACUGAGACACGGUCCAAACUCCUACGGGAGGCAGCAGUGAGGAAUAUUGGUCAAUGGACGAGAGUCUGAACCAGCCAAGUAGCGUGAAGGAUGAAGGUCCUAUGGAUUGUAAACUUCUUUUAUACAGGAAUAAAGUGAGCCACGUGUGGCUUUUUGUAUGUACUGUAUGAAUAAGCAUCGGCUAACUCCGUGCCAGCAGCCGCGGUAAUACGGAGGAUGCGAGCGUUAUCCGGAUUUAUUGGGUUUAAAGGGAGCGCAGACGGUUUGUUAAGUCAGUUGUGAAAGUUUGGGGCUCAACCUUAAAAUUGCAAUUGAUACUGGCAGACUUGAGUGCAGAUGAGGUAGGCGGAAUUCGUGGUGUAGCGGUGAAAUGCUUAGAUAUCACGAAGAACUCCGAUU